rnacentral:SRP_RNA from 1 species
GCUGGGCGAGGUGGCGCAUGCCUGUAGUCCCAGCUACUCGGGAGGCUGAGGUGGGAGUAUCGCUUGAGCCCCAGGAGCUCUGGGCUGUAGUGCGCUAUGCCGAUCAGGUGUCUGCACUACGUUCAGCAUCAAUAUGGUGACCUCCCGGGAGCGGGGGACCACCAGGCUGCCCACGGAGGGGUGAACCGGCCCACGUCGGAAACGGAGCAGGUCAAAAGUCCCGUGCUGAUCAGUAGUGGGAUCGAGCCUGUGAAUAGCCACUGCACUCCAGCCUGGGCAACAUAGUGAGACCCCAUCUCU